CUAAUACUCCCUCCGUCCAACAAAGGAUGUCUCAACUUUGACCAAAUUUGAAUGCAUCUACAUACUAAGUCACGUCUAGAUACAUCCAAAUUUUGUCAAACUUGAGACAUCUUUUGUUGGAUGGAGGGAGUACUAA
rfam:Brachypodium distachyon strain Bd21 chromosome 4, whole genome shotgun sequence.